UGCUCGGCCACGACGCUGCUACCAACUGCGCGUGCGCAGGACAAGCCCGGUCCAGCGAGCGGGCCUCGCCCGAGUCACCCAGUCGUCUCUCCGUCCCCAGCGAAGGAGUUCUGUAAACUAAUUCGCCGUUGAACUUUUUGCUCAGUGACACCCAGUGUUAAGCUGCGAAGGCUCUGAUGAAGGGACUACUCCCCGCUCCGAGCACGGCAAAGGGAGCCAACAGGCUGUAGUAAGAGCUGAGGUGGAUGAAGACAGGUCCUCUAGAGCAACGAUCCCAAUGAUCCUGACCAAGCAUCAGAACACCGGGCAGGUCUUUAACCGGAGGGCUGCCUCCACUGUUGAUGUAGUUCAUCCAGCAGGUCUGGGCGGUGCCGAAAAUCUGCAUCUCUGACAGAUUCCCAGCUGAUGCUGACACUGCUGCUUUAGGGACCUUGGCAGGGCUCCUCAGUGAGUCACUGAAAGAAACAGCCUCUCCUUACCUCUGGGACUUUCACAGCAGAUUAGAAAUUCCACAGUCUGGAAGCUCUGAGCCUAAGAAGAAACAACUCGGGGAAACACCAUGCCUACAAAUCAGGCUCAGCAUUGGGGCUGCAGACUUUCAAGUAUGCCAGACCCAUUUUCAUCUUCUGAAAUUGUCUGAGUAACUAGCAUAAGAUCAUAUGCUCUAAAGGAUCAUAUUUCCUGCCCCAAAAUGCGGGUCACUGCUGGGCAUCGUGGCACAGGCUAUAAUACCAGCUCUUAGGAGGCAGAGGCAGGAGGAUUGCCAUGCUCAAGGCCAACCUGAGUUAUAUAGUGAGACCCUGUCUCAAAAAAAAUGUGGGUCACUUAUCUAGUAAAUGAGUAAAUAAAGGUUGAGCAAACACAUGGA
rnacentral:lncRNA from 1 species